UACGUAGGUGGCAAGCGUUGUCCGGAUUUACUGGGCGUAAAGGGCGUGCAGGCGGUCUGUUAAGUGCAGGGUGAAAGCUCCCGGCUCAACUGGGAGAGGUCCUUGCAUACUGGCGGACUUGAGGGGGGUAGAGGAAAGUGGAAUUCCCGGUGUAGUGGUGAUAUGCGUAGAUAUCGGGAGGAACACCUGUGGCGAAAGCGGCUCACUGGACCACAACUGUCGCUGAGGCGCGAAAGCUAGGGGAGCAAACAGA
rnacentral:rRNA from 1 species